GACGAACCGUGCGAACGUUGUUCGGAAUCACUGGGCUUAAAGGGCGCGAAGGCGGGCCCGCAAGUCAGGGGUGAAAUCCCACGGCUCAACCGUGGAAGUGCCUUUGAUACUGCGGAUCUCGAGGGAGGUAGGGGCGUGCGGAACUUCCGGUGGAGCGGUGAAAUGCGUAGAUAUCGGAAGGAACACCGGUGGCGAAAGCGGCGCGCUGGACCUCUUCUGACGCUGAGGCGCGAAAGCCAGGGGAGCAAACGGG
rnacentral:rRNA from 1 species